rnacentral:rRNA from 1 species
CCUACGGGAGGCAGCAGUGGGGAAUAUUGGGCAAUGGGCGCAAGCCUGACCCAGCAACGCCGCGUGCAGGAAGACGGCUCUCGGGUUGUAAACUUCUUUUUAGAGGGAAGAGCAGAAGACGGUACCUCUUGAAUAAGCCGCGGCUAACUACGUGCCAGCAGCCGCGGUCAUACGUAGGUGGCAAGCGUUGUCCGGAUUUACUGGGUGUAAAGGGCGUGCAGCCGGGAAGACAAGUCAGAUGUGAAAUCUCGCGGCUCAACCGCGGAACUGCAUUUGAAACUGUUUUUCUUGAGUACCGGAGAGGUCAUCGGAAUUCGUGGUGUAGCGGUGAAAUGCGUAGAGAUAAGGAAGAACACCAGUGGCGAAGGCGGAUGACUGGACGGCAACUGACGGUGAGGCGCGAAAGCGUGGGGAGCAAACAGGAUUAGAUACCCGGGUAGUC